rnacentral:rRNA from 1 species
UACAGAGGUCCCAAGCGUUGUUCGGAUUCACUGGGCGUAAAGGGUGCGUAGGCGGUCGGGUAAGUCUGAUGUGAAAUCUCACAGCUUAACUGUGAAACUGCAUUGGAUACUAUCCGGCUCGAGGAAUGGAGGGGGGACUGGAAUACUUGGUGUAGCAGUGAAAUGCGUAGAUAUCAAGUGGAACACCAGUGGCGAAGGCGAGUCCCUGGACAACUCCUGACACUGAUGCACGAAAGCUAGGGGAGCAAACAGG